AGUGAACGCUGGCGGUAGGCCUAACACAUGCAAGUCGAACGGCAGCACAGUAAGAGCUUGCUCUUACGGGUGGCGAGUGGCGGACGGGUGAGGAAUACAUCGGAAUCUACUUUUUCGUGGGGGAUAACGUAGGGAAACUUACGCUAAUACCGCAUACGACCUACGGGUGAAAGCAGGGGAUCUUCGGACCUUGCGCGAUUGAAUGAGCCGAUGUCGGAUUAGCUAGUUGGCGGGGUAAAGGCCCACCAAGGCGACGAUCCGUAGCUGGUCUGAGGGGAUGUUGAGCCACACGGAACCUGGGACACGGUCCGAACUCCUACGGGAGGCAGCAGUGGGAAAUAUUGGACAAGGGGCGCAAGCCUGAGCCAGCCAUACCGCGGGGGUGAAGAAGGCCUUCGGUUGUAAAGCCCUUUUGUUGGGAAAGAAAAGCAGCAGGUUAAUACCCCGCUGUUCUGACGGUACCCAAAGAAUAAGCACCGGCUAACUUCGUG
rnacentral:rRNA from 1 species